rnacentral:rRNA from 1 species
UACGAACUGUGCGAACGUUAUUCGGAAUCACUGGGCUUAAAGGGUGCGUAGGCGGCUGCCUAAGUCAGGUGUGAAAUCUCCCGGCUCAACCGGGAAACUGCGCUUGAUACUGGGCGGCUCGAGUGAGGUAGGGGUGUGUGGAACUUCCGGUGGAGCGGUGAAAUGCGUAGAGAUCGGCAGGAACACCCAGGGGGAAACCAGCCGACUGGGCAAGUGCUGACGCUGAGGUGCGAGAGCGUGGGGAGCGAACCGG